GUGAGAAUGUCACUCAGUGGCAGAGCGCUUGCCUAGUAUGCAUCAGGCCCUGGGUUCAAACCACAGUUCUUCA
rnacentral:tRNA from 1 species